AUGGCUCCUACCAAGGCUGAGGAUGAUGUAGAGGAGGGAGAAGAGAAGAAGAAGAGGGAAAGGAAGGCAGCCGGAGCUGCUUUCACGUGGAUUCAAAAUAACUUUGCGACGUGCCCUCCGGAUGCAACUGAUGAUGUGAUCCAGACACAUGCUCGUGUGUAUAUGUGGUACAUUGUGUCGAGGACUUUGUUUCCUGACUCCACUGGCAAGAACGCUCCAUGGAUGUGGCUGAAGGCGUUGACCGUCUUCGAUAGCAAAUGGAGCUGGGGUUCAGCGACUCUUGCCUACUUGUACCGACAGGUAGUUGGUCUGUUUUGUGAUCAACUCAUUUAUUCAUUAGCAAUGCAAGCUUGCUGUCAAGUUAACAUUGUUUUUCUUUCAUAUGUAGCUGGAUGA
rnacentral:rRNA from 1 species